UACGGAGGGGGCUAGCGUUGUUCGGAAUUACUGGGCGUAAAGCGCACGUAGGCGGCUUUGUAAGUUAGAGGUGAAAGCCCAGGGCUUAACCCUGGAAUUGCCUUUAAGACUGCAUCGCUAGAAUCGUGGAGAGGUGAGUGGAAUUCCGAGUGUGGAGGUGAAAUUCGUAGAUAUUCGGAAGAACACCGGUGGCGAAGGCGGCCCGCUGGGCAGGAAGGCUCGCAAGAGCCGGCUGACGCUGAGGCGCGACAGCGUGGGGAGCAAACAGG
rnacentral:rRNA from 1 species